rnacentral:rRNA from 1 species
ACUCCUACGGGAGGCAGCAGUGGGGAAUAUUGCACAAUGGGGGAAACCCUGAUGCAGCCAUGCCGCGUGUGUGAAGAAGGCCUUCGGGUUGUAAAGCACUUUCAGUAGGGAGGAAGGUAGUGUAGUUAACACCUGCAUUAUUUGACGUUACCUACAGAAGAAGCACCGGCUAACUCCGUGCCAGCAGCCGCGGUAAUACGGAGGGUGCGAGCGUUAAUCGGAAUUACUGGGCGUAAAGCGCAUGCAGGCGGCCUGUUAAGUCAGAUGUGAAAGCCCGGGGCUUAACCUCGGAAUUGCAUUUGAAACUGGCAGGCUAGAGUCUUGUAGAGGGGGGUAGAAUUUCAGGUGUAGCGGUGAAAUGCGUAGAGAUCUGAAGGAAUACCAGUGGCGAAGGCGGCCCCCUGGACAAAGCUGACGCUCAGAUGCGAAAGCGUGGGGAGCAAACAGGAUUAGAUACCCUGGUAGGAUAGCG